UGACUCGAAUAUUAGGACAAUGGGUGAGAGCCUGAUCCAGCCAUCCCGCGUGAAGGACGACGGCCCUAUGGGUUGUAAACUUCUUUUGUAUAGGGAUAAACCUACCCUCGUGAGGGUAGCUGAAGGUACUAUACGAAUAAGCACCGGCUAACUCCGUGCCAGCAGCCGCGGUAAUUAA
rnacentral:rRNA from 1 species